CAGACGGGAGGCAGCAGUGAGGAAGAUUGGUCAAUGGUCGUGAGUCUGAACCAGCCAAGUAGCGUGAAGGAUGACUGCCCUAUGGGUUGUAAACUUCUUUUAUGAAGGAAUAAAACGCGGCACGUGUGCCUUUUUGCAUGUACUUUAUGAAUAAGGACCGGCUAACUCCGUGCCAGCAGCCGCGGUAAUACGGAGGUUCCGGGCGUUAUCCGGAUUUAUUGGGUUUAAAGGGAGCGUAGGGCGGUUGUUAAGUCAGUUGUGAAAUUUUGCGGCUCAACCGUGAAACUGCGAUUGAAACUGGCAUGCUUGAGUACGGUUGAGGUAUGCGGAAUUCGUGGUGUAGCGGUGAAAUGCUUAGAUAUCACGAAGAACCCCGAUUGCGAAGGCAGCUUACUAAAGCGUUACUGACAUUGAUGCUCGAAGGUGUGGGUAUCGAACAGGAUUAGAUACCCUUGUAGUC
rnacentral:rRNA from 1 species